GGGAGCAGGAGGGUUGCUGACAGUGUACGACACUGAGGAAAGUCCCCUCUCCAUGAUGCGAGUGGCCCGACGCAAGUCGGGGAUCCGAGAGGGUCGGCUCUGCAACAGAAACGAACUGCCCCGGGAGUACGAUGAAUCCGAAAGGAGGAGGUUUCCCGAAGGUAGCUGGAACGAGCACCCCCGCUGGAGCAAGUCCAAGCAGGCCCGUAAUGCAUCAACAGGGCCGGGUAGGAUGCAAAGUUGAAUGCAACCAGCCGAAAGGUGAACAGAAAGGGGCUUAUUCCCUGCACCC
rnacentral:RNase_P_RNA from 3 species